CAACAGGGAUUGCCCUAGUAACGGCGAGUGAAGCGGCAACAGCUCAAAUUUGAAAUCUGGCUCUUUCAGAGUCCGAGUUGUAAUUUGCAGAGGGCGCUUUGGCGUUGGCAGCGGUCCAAGUUCCUUGGAACAGGACGUCACAGAGGGUGAGAAUCCCGUACGUGGUCGCUGGCCUUCGCCGUGUAAAGCCCCUUCGACGAGUCGAGUUGUUUGGGAAUGCAGCUCUAAAUGGGAGGUAAAUUUCUUCUAAAGCUAAAUACUGGCCAGAGACCGAUAGCGCACAAGUAGAGUGAUCGAAAGAUGAAAAGCACUUUGGAAAGAGAGUCAAAUAGCACGUGAAAUUGUUGAAAGGGAAGCGCUUGCAGCCAGACUUGCCUGUAGUUGCUCAUCCGGGCUUUUGCCCGGUGCACUCUUCUGCGGGCAGGCCAGCAUCAGUUUGGGCGGUUGGAUAAAGGUCUCUGUCAUGUACCUCUCUUCGGGGAGGCCUUAUAGGGGAGACGUCAUACAACCAGCCUGGACUGAGGUCCGCGCAUUUUGCUAGGAUGCUGGCGUAAUGGCUGUAAGCGGCCCGUCUUGAAACACGGACCAAGGAGUCUAACAUCUAUGCGAGUGUUUGGGUGUCAAGCCCGAACGCGUAAUGAAAGUGAACGGAGGUGGGACCCCAUUAGGGUGCACCAUCGACCGAUCCUGAUGUCUUCGGAUGGAUUUGAGUAAGAGCAUGGCUGUUGGGACCCGAAAGAUGGUGAACUAUGCUUGAAUAGGGUGAAGCCAGAGGAAACUCUGGUGGAGGCUCGCAGCGGUUCUGACGUGCAAAUCGAUCGUCAAAUUUGGGCAUAGGGGCGAAAGACUAAUCGAACUAUCUAGUAGCUGGUUCCUGCCG
rnacentral:rRNA from 1 species